UGCACCAUUGUUACCAUCAAACAUAGAUCACAUUUUUCUCUUCUUUUCUUGGAAGAGAGCUACCAUCUAAGUCAAUCGAGUUUAGGAUAAAGAACAGAUCAAAGAUUUAAAGAAUCAAAGAUCAAAGAAGGACAAAAUCUAAGAUUUAAAUCCCUGUAGACAAUAUAUAUAUAUAUAUACACACACACACACCAAAAGAAACAAUUCAUAUGACCCAAUUUAUGGAUCACAAUUGGAAGCAAAAGAGUGAGAGAGAGAAAAGAAAAAGAACAAAGGAAAUUAUUUGGUUAAUGAAAAACACAAAAGAAUUCAACCUGAAACCUGACGAUGUAAUGGUCAUUCCCAAAGAAAGAUUGCCAGGUCUCGAUGGGUUUAAAUCUUGGAUUAUAAGGAAUAAACGGCACACUCAAAUUGAACAAAGCUUUCACUCUGUCCGGUCUGAACAAGCACAAGUACCAAGCAAUGAUGGCACCCCAAUCAUGACCAACCACGAACACCUUAUUCUGAUCCGGUGCAACGGCGUCAAGGAGGGCGAUGAGGUCCCCCACGAGGUGGAAGCAAGUGUAGCUAGCGAUGGAGGGUGGUGCAUCGGUUUCGCCAUAGCCACGGAGGUCAGGGGCCAAGGCUCGGUAGCCAAGGGAGGCUAAACCAUUGAUCUGGUGACGCCAAGAGUACCAGAGCUCAGGGAAACCAUGAAGGAAUAGUAUCACUGGGCCUUCCCCUUUCUCUGCUAAGUGCAUGUUUAUGCCAUUUACUCUCACUGUUUUGUGCUGAAUCCCCUCCAUCUUAAUUUCUCUGAUUCAGUUCAAUGUCUACUACUUUCUUCAGCUAUUGGUAUUUAUAGAGAAGAAAUUAUGAGCGGUGAUGGCUUAAAUUUCCGAUUUAAGAACGAGUUUGGUUUGGGGGCUGCAGCCACUUCUUAUCCUUCAAAUCCUAUCCAUUUGUCGUAAAAAGAAUACGUCACUGAUGAGAACCGAAAAUGCUAAAAUAACUUAAAAGUUACUAGAUUUUGUAAAUUUAUUUAAAUAAAUUUUUAUAUUUUUAUUAGAUUCAAAUAAGUUUUUUAUCUUUAAUUUAUAUUUAAAUUAAUUUUUAAAUUUUAAUUUAUAUUCAAAUAAAUCUUUAACUUUUAAUUUACAUUUAAAUAAGAUUUUAAUAUAAAUUAAUUUAUUAUUUGAAAUAAAAUUUUAUUUAAUAUAAAUAAACAAAAUUUAUUAAAUAUAAUAAAAAACAUAUAAUUUAAUUAAAAAAUAAUCCAAAGACUUUUUUUUAAUAUUUUAGCCAACCGAAAACGAUGACAAUCAAUAAGCAUUUAUUUACCUUCGGACGAGACGUGUUCACAUGCCCAACGAUUUGCAUUUAGUUAUUAUUAUUGUUAUUAUUAUUUAGGUAUGAUUUGCUGUUAGCUAUUAGUGAAAUUUAUUUAUUUAGAAAAAAUAGGAGUAAACGUCAUUUAAACUUUGAUAAUUUGAUGGAAAAAUAAAAAGAUAAAAAAUUAGUGAGAGAUAUAAAAUAAAAACUGAAAAAAAUAUUUUUUUAUUAGUAUGUUUGAUAGAAUCAUAAAAAGAUGGAAAAGUGAAAAAAAAUUUCUUUCUAUUUAUUAUUUUAUAGAGUUUUUGAGAAAAAUUAAAAAAAAAAAGAAAACAAGUUUAUGUUAUUUUAUUAAUUAUACUUUUAUAAGUUAAAAAAUUAAAAUUUUAAAAAAUUCAAGAAUCUUAUAAAUAUACACACUUAGUUAUAUGUUUUCCAUUUUCUAUACAUCAAUCUUUUUAAUUUGAAAUAAUUUGUUAUUAAGAGUAAGGAUAAAAAUGACAAUCCGCUUCAUUUUCUUUCUCUACAUUUUUCUCUCUUAUCAAACACCUUUUUUUUUUUCAUUUUUUUUAUCCACUCUUAUUUAUUUUUCAUUUUUUCACUUUAAAUUUGGCUUUUUUUAUAUAUAAAUUAUUACUUUCAUCUUUGAUAAAAAGAAGUUUAAUAGUUAUCAUUCACAAAUUUAAGACUUGGUUGUCUUUAAAAAAAAAAAAUCAAGUUUUUCUUCAUGUGAAUAAGAUGGAUAUAUGUAAGGAUUUUAAUUAGUAUCUGAUACGAUCAUAAGUAAGUUUUAAAUAGUUAAUGUGAUUAUAUAUAAUUCGAUUCGGAUUAAUAUGAUUUUAAUAGUUACACAUGAAUGCAAGUAAGUUUAACUUACAUAGUAAAAUUAUACAUAUGUGUAUAUGUAGUAUAUAAUAGUAUACUAUUAUAAACUAUUUCAAUAAUUAUAUGUUAGUAUAUACUAAUGGUUAUUUAAUUAUCCACUGUAGACACCCGCAUUUGGUCUAGGCUCGGAUCAAUUUGGGCCUGGUUCCAAAAUGGAUAAGUCUAUAUUUUUUUCUUUUCUUUUCUCUUCAUUUUAUUUUUAUUUUUUUAAUUUAUUUUAUUUUGUUUUUACAUUUUUAAUUUUAUUUAUUUUUUAUUUAUUAUUAUUUAUAUAUGUAUAUUAUUUUUCUUUUUAUUAUUAUUAUUAUUAUUAUUAUCUUAGAUUUAUGUAUUUAUUAAUAUGUAUAUAUCUUUAUUAUUAUUUUUUUUCUUCUUUUUUUUCCUGUUAAUAUUUAUGUAAUUAUCUGUUAUUUAAUUUUAUUUUAUCUGUUAAUUUUUUUUGAUUUAUCUGAUUUAUUUUCAUUUGAUUUUUUUUAAUUUUUUUAUUUAUCUGGCUGAAAAUUGGAUUGGGAUUCAAUCAGAAGAGUCCAUGUUGGAUUCAAUGAUUGAAUCCCGAUCCAAAGAAGAAUUGGGAUUGAUCAGAAACUCCUGAUCAAUCCCUAUAAAAAGGACCCUCUGGAACAAAACAAAACACAUAAAAAAUCAAUGAGCAAAAAGCUACUGAUUUGAGAGAAAAGAGGCAUAUAGAAGAGUAUAGAAGGCUAAGAAAAUGUUUAAAAGUGUUCUAAGAGUUAGCAAAAAUUUUUUGGAGAUUUUUGGUGAUUUUUUUUCUGGAAAUUUUUGGAAAAUUUCAGAUUCCGGUUGAAUUUUUCGGUGAAACUUGUAUUUUUCGACGAUGAUUCCGGCCAACUUUGAAGUUUUCGACGAGCUGCCCAGUUUCCGAUGAAGGAUCCAGAAAUCGACCAACUUUUCGACGAACUUCCGACCGAAAAUUCAGAUUUUGACGAAAAUCUCAAAAUUCGAUGAAUAUUUAACCGGAGUUCUUCGACCGUUUAGAGAGAAGCGAGAGAAAAAGGAAAGAAGAGAGAGAGAGGGGAAAGGGUUUCUACCGAAAAACAGAGGGAAGAGCCUUAUAUACCAUCCCAAAACGACGUCAUUUUUGCCUUAAGUAAUCCAGAAGAUCCACGCGUUUUGUCAAGAUCAGACCCUACCCGAGCGUUGACCCGCUUCCUGACCCGCGUGUGUCUCCUUCCUCCGAGUCGAUAGCCGAGUCGAGCCGAGGUUUUAAGCCGCUUCUCCAAGUCAUUUUCUUUUCCUUGAGCCGAGCCGUACUUCGAGCCGCUCCAGGUUUUUUUUUUUGAAUUUAUUUAUUUGUUUAUUUUUUUUAUUUUUUUUAUUAGAUUAGGUUUAUUUAAUAUUCUUUUUAUCUUUAUUUUAUUUUUAUUUUUGUUUUACUUUAUUUUAUUUUAUUUUAUUAUUCUAUUUUCUUUAAAUAAAAACCAAAAAAUAAUAUUUUGGGGAAAAGUUGAAAGUAUCAAUUUUUCUUGAAAAUCAAAGUUUCAAGAAAUAUUUUUUUGAAAAAAGUUGAAAGUAUCAAUUUUUCUUAAAAAUAAAAUUUCAAAAAAAAAUAUUUUUGGGGAAAAAUUGAAACUAUCAUUUUUCUUGAAAAUCAAAAUUUUCAAAAAAAUAUUUUUAAAAAUAUUAAAAUUUAUCAUGAAUAAUUAUAAUAAUAUAGUAAUAUAUUAUUUCAAAUUUUACUUAUAAUUUUAUUAAAUGUAUUAUAAGUGAAUACAAUUUGUACAUUAAGCUUUUUUUUUUUUAAUAAAAUCAUGUUAAAUUGUGAUUAUGUUGGUUCCAGAUGAACCAAUCCAUAUCAGCUAGCCUACCAUAAGGCAACUAAUAUUUAUUCAAAAAAAUAUCAAUUUAAAACAUCUGCAUGAAAACAUACAAUUACACAAUCCACAUUCAGUUAUAUAUGAAAUUAAAACCAGUAAAUGGACAUCUAAAUUUCAUAUUCAGAGGAAUGGUUGUUGCUCGUGAAAUUCUUUUCCUCCUCAAUUUCACAUUUCAGCAGCUCAUUUGUGACAGUAUAUGGGAGAUCAACCACUGCUCUUUUAACCUUAAGUUUUAAUGUUCUUGCAACAUUAAUUUGGAAACAAAAAACAUGCUCACCCAUCGGCAAUGCCCAAAUAUAAUAAGUAGCUGGCUUCGUGUUAAAGUUCAUAAAUAAUAAUCUGCAAUUUGUGGCGUUGAUACAAAGCAUAUAUACAAUGACAUACAAGAGUUGAAAGUAUAGCAAUGUUAAACAUUAGACGAAAAAUCGAUUGGCAAUAAAUGAAAAAAUCCAAUUUCAAUAUACGAUCGCAGACAUUUCAAGAUUUAACCAAAGUGAAGUCACUCGUAGGCGCAGCUACCAUGUAACAAACUCAGAAAGAUAUAAACGCAUGUACCCACCACAUAUAAGCAUAACUAUCAAGUGUUCAGAAGAGAUAUAAAGCAGAAAGAACAUAAGAGAACCUGAUUCUAAUAUCAUUUUAAGCAUCAAAUUUAAAAUCAAUUGUAAUAGGUGGUGAGACCCAAAUUGAAUAUAAGAUCACAUGUAAUCCUAAACUUAAAGAUGUGAGACAACAUCACUUGACAAUAAAUAUAUGAUUUACAAGUUCGUGAUUCAGCUAUCUCUGUCAUAUUUCUAGUUUUGUACUAGCACAAGCAAUCCUUACAUCAUUGAUCAAUGAUUCUUGAACCUUGAUUCCAGCUUCUUUCAUUCGAUACAGAAGUUUAAUGGCCUGAAUACAGAACUCAUUAUGUACAUAGCCCAGAAGCAUGGCAUUCCAACAUGCUAUGUUUCUUUUAUCACCAACAAUCUCAAAUGCCUUUUCAGCAUCUUUCACCAAUCUGCAUUUACCAUACAUGUUGAUCAAUCCGCAUUGUAUGAAAACAUCUGAUUCUAAACCAAGCUUGAUAGCAUUGGCAUGAACCUGCCGACCGGACAUACCGUCAUCAUUCAUCCCAGCACAUGCCUUUAAAACACUUGAAAAAGUAAAGCUAUUUUUCUUAAUACCCUGUCUGCCCAUCUCAAUAAAAUCAUCAAUAACCUUACUGAAUUGAUCCUCCCUACAGCUAUUAACGAUUUUUGCUGUCCAAGUCACAGUAUUACGUCGUGACAAUUGAUUAAAUACAUAGUUGGCAUCAUCUAGGCAACUGAAGUUUCCAUAAAAGUUGAUUAAGGACCCAGAUAGAGACAAAUCAUUGCUAAAACCCAACUUGAGUAACUGCCCAUGCAGUUGCUUUCCUAAUUCCAUAUUAUUUGUCAAAACACAUGACUUGAGAAGACAUACGAUGAUCCAGGCAGGAAAUUUGAAGAUAAGAUUGCGCUGUUCCAUAAGCACGAAAUAAGCAAUAGCCUGUUCAGAGUCACCAGCGUGGAGACAUGCAACAAUCAUGAUUGCCCAAGAGUUGAAGUCUCUAAGAAACAUCUGAUCGAACAACUGACGGGCAAUUUCCAGGUGACCGCAUGAGACAUGCAUGAGAAGGAGGCGGUUAAGCAAAGGUAAGGAGAGCUUGAUACGGCUCUUUUUGAUGUGUGCAUGUAACUCAAGAGCCCUGCGGGAGUGGCGGGUGAUGGUACAUUCUUUGAUCAGGGAAGAAUAUAUAUCAGGUGGUAUGGGAAGGGAAAGGCUAUCCAUUAAGCGCAAAAUAUCGGAGGUUGUGUGGCUGCUAGUACUUGGGUUGGUCGACAUGGGUUUGCUAGUUGGAGUAGGAAUGGCUGGUGGUGUUGUUUUCGACGAUUGUUUCAGAAUUCGAGGGGGCAAUUGAAUCUGCCGUUCGGAUUUGGUUGGUGUUGAGAUGGCUUGAGAGUUGAGCAAAAACUUGUUGGAAUGUAAAAUCUUAGGGAGACAUUGGGAAACCACAUCCAUUUCUGAUAAGAAAAAAACAAUGUUUCAUCUGUUUGACAGAAACUAUACCUAUGAGAAAGGCUGAGGAGAAGAAUAACGUUGCAUUUGAGAGGAGUAACGUACAGAAAUCAGAUUAAGGAAGUGCCUUUUGAGUUUUGACUAAUUUUAUGGACUCAAUCACGAGUUGAGGGCACAUCUCUCCAAAUGAUUCAAUGUACAUAUGAUAAUCAUACUUUAUCUAAAUACUAUAUCCCAGACAAAAUGUAUGCCCAAAAAUAAAUUGGAAAAAUAAAAAAGGUUUGAGGGCGUGAUAAUUUUAAAUAUAAUAACAUGAUAUGAAAAUUAUAUUAAAAAAUAAAAUUAUAAUAUUAUUUAAAAUUUUAAUAAAAAAAUCAUAUAUAUAUUUAAUAAAAUUUUAAAAAAUACAUGUUAUAUUUAAAAUAUCAAAUGAUAAAAUAAUUUCAUAUUUUAUAUAUAUAUUUGAUACGAAAUAAAUAAUAUAUAUACAUAAAUUAUUAAGUCUAGCUUUGAUUGGUUAUAAACAAUUUUACAACCCAACGAUUACCAUAUAAAAAUCAAACUUGUGAAACAAAGAAGAGGACAUACGAGCUUUAUUGCUAUGGCCAUGGAAUUGGAGAUGUAAUACAGAAAGGAGCUAAAUUCUUCAACCUGAUUUACUUCCAGUUUUAUCUACCUAACCAAAAGGCAAAUUUUAUAACUGGAGAGAGGAAUUUAGAGGGUUUCAGUUACAAGCAUUAAUUUUAGAUUUUUUGGUUUUUUCACGUUCACGUUCGGUUCGAAUUAUCAGGGAUCAACGAAUGAAGAAGAGUUCCCUAUUGCAAAUGUACUGUAUGGACGAGGAUGAUAUACACCAACUUGAUUCUCAAUACCAGCUAAAGAGGAAGAGAUGAAGAAAACAAAUCCACCUAUUCCAUAGAGGAAAUUCACUCAUAAAAUUGAAAAAUCAGUAAAAUAUUGAUAAAAAUAUGUUCAAUGGUGUGUCAAAUCGAUUCUUCAAAAUGUUUCACAGGAAUAACAUCCAAAGCAACUUCCCAUGAAUCUCUGUUUAGUAAAAUACCCUGAACAAUUAUAUGCUGUUACCAACCAAACCUGAAUGUGUGUUGAACAUCAGUUUCAUGAUCUACCACCAUGUUCUGUUGAGGUCAUCAGGACCACCUCAAAAAAGUUUAUAGGCCACUAAUUUGCUAUAAUUUUCUGGUGACUGAGAUCAGUUCUUUUGAGAUACCAUAAAAAAUUCCGUCAUGUUAAGGUAAGCAACCGGCGAAAGCAGAAAAUAUUAGUAGUUUAAAAUAUGAAGUAUCUUAUAUUAAAUAAAAAAAUUAUUUGUAUAUAAUUUAAAAGAAAUUAUUUAUGUUAUUUAAGUAAUUAAUUUAAGUGUUAAAAUGGAGCAAAUUAUUUGGGUUUGUUAGAAAUUUUUCUAAUGAGUUAAAUAAUUUUAAAAGUUAAAAAUUGGAUACUUGAAUUUGUUUAAUAAAUAAAUUUAUUUUUGUAAUCUUUUAUUUAAUAUAUUUUUGAAAUAAAAUAAAAUAAUAUUAAUUUUAUUCUCAAUAACUUGUUUGAACAGAAAAACGGAAUUAUACAAAUUAUUAUAAUUUUUUUAAUAAAAAUUUGUAAUUAUUCAUUUAUUACAAAUAAAUAUUUUACAUGAUCAAUUUUACUGAUUUUGAUUUGAAAAAUUUUAAAAUUUUAUUAUAUCGUAUAAACAUAAUUACUUUUAAAAUAAUAUUAUUUAUGUCUUAAAAUUAUAUAUAUUUAUUAUUUCUAUUUUCUUAAGGUUUUCUAACAAGAAAUUAAUAAAAGAGGGAUCAAACAAUAAUUUCAAAAAAAAAAAAACUAAAUUAAUAAUUAAUAGAGACUGAUCAUUAUAUAAUAUGGAGGUAAAAAGUUUUUGGAGGCCAUGGCCCCGCCUGCCCCACUCUAGCUCCACCACUGUUUAUUGCAGAUUUAUCACUGGAGAGAAUCUUCACAAUCACUCUCUGGCAGCGUUGGAUCAUCACAAACAAGACAAUGAAAAUUCCACCCAACAAGAUAUGUUGAAUAAAGAUUACAUUAUGAUAAGACAAGUGGGAAUUCAAGUUAUUGCUAUAAUUAAACACACUGGAGAACAAAUUAAUGGAACUUGGAGAAGAAAUCAAACAUUUGUUUGUUGAUGUCAUCAGGCUUUUCUUGGUUGAUCCAGUGAGUAACUCCUUUCAUUACAACUGCUUCCUCCAGAAAUGGUACAUCUCUCUUGAACGCGCCAUUGUGAAUGUAUUCCUUCAUACCAGGCAUAGUGUAAACAAGAUCGAGAUUACCCAUCACAAACUUUACGGGGACCUUAAUUUCACUUCCAGACCAUGGGGCUGAUAGUUCCCAGUUUCUGUGAUCAAGAGAAAGAGAAAGAAAAAGGAGAUUAACGAUCAGGAAAUGCGGGUUGAACAAAGAGAUCAAUGAUCAGGAAUCGGGCUUCCCAAUGGACGAAAAGUUGAAGAAGCCAGAAUUAAUAGUUAAAGCGGGAAAAUAUUAAGAAAUUUGAUAAACGUACCGAUCAAAGUUACGGUAAUAGUUGAGAGCACUACUAAUGCCGGUUUUCUCAAAUUGGGUGGCAUAGUAGUUGGCAUCUUGGUGUGAUAACCAAGGGGGCAAAUUAACUGGAUCAUCUAAUGGAUGCCCGAACAGAUUUCCUUUUGGUAAAUAAGGAGGAUCUGGUACACGGUACGAUAGUAACUCCAAUACAGCUCUUCCCACACCAAUCUCUGCAAAUUCUGCUUCCAUUACUCCAGGCUCCUGCACCAUUGUUACCAUCAAACAUAGAUCACAUUUUUCUCUUCUUUUCUUGGAAGAGAGCUACCAUCUAAGUCAAUCGAGUUUAGGAUAAAGAAGAGAUCAAAGAUUUAAAGAAUCAAAGAUCAAAGAAGGACAAAAUCUAAGAUUUAAAUCCCUGUCGACAAUAUAUAUAUAUAUAUAUAUAUACACACACACACCAAAAGAAACAAUUCAUAUGACCCAAUUUAUGGAUCACAAUUGGAAGCAAAAGAGUGAGAGAGAGAAAAGAAAAAGAACAAACAAAUAAGGAAAUUAUUUGGUUAAUGAAAAAC
rnacentral:lncRNA from 1 species